rnacentral:rRNA from 1 species
CCUACGGGUGGCUGCAGUGGGGGAUAUUGCACAAUGGGGGGAACCCUGAUGCAGCGACGCCGCGUGGGUGAAGAAGCGCCUCGGCGCGUAAAGCCCUGUCAGCAGGGAAGAAAAUGACGGUACCUGAAUAAGAAGCCCCGGCUAACUACGUGCCAGCAGCCGCGGUAAUACGUAGGGGGCAAGCGUUAUCCGGAAUUACUGGGUGUAAAGGGUGAGUAGGCGGCAUGGUAAGCCAGAUGUGAAAGCCUUGGGCUUAACCCGAGGAUUGCAUUUGGAACUAUCAAGCUAGAGUACAGGAGAGGAAAGCGGAAUUCCUAGUGUAGCGGUGAAAUGCGUAGAUAUUAGGAAGAACACCAGUGGCGAAGGCGGCUUUCUGGACUGAAACUGACGCUGAGGCACGAAAGCGUGGGGAGCGAACAGGAUUAGAUACCCCUGUAGUC